rnacentral:rRNA from 1 species
UCCGCAUGGCCCAUAUACCUAGGGCCACACACGUGCUACAAUGGAUGUUACAAUGGGUUGCCAAACCGCGAGGUGGAGCCAAUCCCACAAAAGCAUCCUCAGUUCGGAUUGGAGUCUGAAACUCGACUCCAUGAAGUCGGAAUUGCUAGUAAUCGCGCAUCAGCACGGCGCGGUGAAUACGUUCCCGGGCCUUGUACACACCGCCCGUCAAGCCAUGGAAGCUGGGGGUACCCAAAGUCAGUGUCCUAACCGCAAGGGGGGAGCUGCCUAAGGUAAAACCAGUGACUGGGGCUAAGUCGUAACAAGGUAGCCGUACCGGAAGGU